GUCCCCAGGAACAGCAGAAGUCUCAAGCUGCACCCAGUUGGGCAGAGGGAUCCUCCUCCGGUCAUCACUGAGCACAAGCCAUCCUCAUGGACACCACUGAGAGCAAAAGGUGGGAAAAUAAUCCUGCAGAGCACAAACACAAAAAGCAAUCAUGAGGAUGCUUGGUUUCUGCUGCUGGGAGGCCGGUUCUGCUUACGGGCUGAGUCAUCGCCCUGGCUGAUUUUCAGAUGGAUACAAUUUGGGACUAGCUCUGCAGCUGGAUGAGUGUCAGCCCAGUUUGAGCACCCACAGCAUCUCUGAGGCUGGAGAGUUCUUGCUGGCUGUUUCGUACAUGUUUCCCAGGUCUUGCUUCUCCCAGUCACAGACUUCUGUAAGCUCUGGAAGAUGCUGGCGCAAGGGUUGGUGCGUGGGGCUGUUGUGGGCAUAGCACAGCCUGUGUGGGAUAGCAAGGUCCAAGGUGUGGAAGGGACACUCCUAUCCUGGCUGUGCAGGGCUUAACCCCAAAAAAGGGAGAUGGACCAGAAAGCAAAGCAAAGCUGCCCCAUUGUUACUGUUCAGGUCACAGUACUGAAAGUAAGCAGAGAGGAAACACAGGGAGGUCAGUCAGAUUUUCCUAAGCCUUUCCAUGUUGUGAGCAUUGCUGUUAAUGGACACUGAUAAGGGGACACACAUUUUUUUUUCAAUAAACAGGAUUUCUAUUGUGAGCAC